ACAAAGAGAAGCGAAGCGGUGACGUGGAGCAAACCUCAGAAAGCCAAUCUCAGUUCGGAUUGUAGGCUGCAACUCGCCUACAUGAAGUUGGAAUCGCUAGUAAUCGCGAAUCAGAAUGUCGCGGUGAAUACGUUCCCGGGUCUUGUACACACCGCCCGUCACACCAUGGGAGUCGGAAAUGCCCGAAGUCAGUGACCUAACCGAAAGGGAGGAGCUGCCGAAGGUGGAGCCGGUAACUGGGGUGAAGUCGUAACAAGGUAUC
rnacentral:rRNA from 1 species